rnacentral:lncRNA from 1 species
GUACAAUAAAACUACAAAAAUUACAAAUCUAAAAAUUAAAAUGGAAAAUGGCAACCAUGAUUAAACAUCUCCAUUCUCCACAUGACAAACAAGGCUAAUAAUCCAUCUCCAAUACCAUCAAUACUCAACACAACAUCUCCAAAUUAACAAUAAUUAACCACCACCAUAGCGAAAUAUCGAGCAACAACGGAUAGAAAAUGAAGCAAAUCAGUCCAUGCUGCAAAAAAAUUAAAAACUUAAUUAAAAUUUAGUUGAAUCACUCAAUAUGCCUUAACAAUUCUCAAUAUUACUAGUAGCAUAUUUGUAUUAUGACUACGCCUUAAUUGUAAAUGAUUAUUAAGUUUGAUCCAAAUCGAUAUACAUAAUUACAUACUUACUGUUGCAGCAAAAAAUCUUCAUAUUAGAACACUUGGAUGUUCCGCUUGUGUCGAUUUA